rnacentral:rRNA from 1 species
UACGGAGGGGGCUAGCGUUGUUCGGAAUUACUGGGCGUAAAGCGCACGUAGGCGGCUUUGUAAGUUAGAGGUGAAAGCCCGGGGCUCAACUCCGGAAUUGCCUUUAAGACUGAAUCGCUAGAAUUGUGGAGAGGUAAGUGGAAUUCCGAGUGUAGAGGUGAAAUUCGUAGAUAUUCGGAAGAACACCAGUGGCGAAGGCGACUUACUGGACACAUAUUGACGCUGAGGUGCGAAAGCGUGGGGAGCAAACAGG